rnacentral:rRNA from 1 species
GAUGAACGCUGGCGGCGUGCCUAAUACAUGCAAGUCGAGCGAACGGACGAGAAGCUUGCUUCUCUGAUGUUAGCGGCGGACGGGUGAGUAACACGUGGAUAACCUACCUAUAAGACUGGGAUAACUUCGGGAAACCGGAGCUAAUACCGGAUGAUAUUUUGAACCGCAUGGUUCAAAAGUGAAAGACGGUCUUGCUGUCACUUAUAGAUGGAUCCGCGCUGCAUUAGCUAGUUGGUAAGGUAACGGCUUACCAAGGCAACGAUGCAUAGCCGACCUGAGAGAGUGGUCGGCCACACGGGAACUGGGACGCGGUCCAGACUCCUGCGGGAGGCAGCAGUAGGGAAUCUUCCGCAGUGGGCGAAAGCCUGGCGGAGCAACGCCGCGUGAGUGAUGAAAGUCUUCGGAUCGUAAAACUCUGUUAUUAGGGAAGAACAUAUGUGUAAGUAACUGUGCACAUCUUGACGGUACCUAAUCAGAAAGCCACGGCUAACUACGUG